GAUGAACGCUGGCGGCGUGCCUAAUACAUGCAAGUCGAGCGAACGGACGAGAAGCUUGCUUUUCUGAUGUUAGCGGCGGACGGGUGAGUAACACGUGGAUAACCUACCUAUAAGACUGGGAUAACUUCGGGAAACCGGAGCUAAUACCGGAUAAUAUUUUGAACCGCAUGGUUCAAAAGUGAAAGACGGUCUUGCUGUCACUUAUAGAUGGAUCCGCGCUGCAUUAGCUAGUUGGUAAGGUAACGGCUUACUAAGGCAACGAUGCAUACCCGACCUGAGAGGGUGAUCGGCCACACUGGAACUGAGACACGGUCCAAACUCCUACGGGAGGCAGCAGUAGGGAAUCUUCCGCAAUGGGCGAAAGCCUGACGGGGCAACGCCGCGUGAGUGAUGAAGGUCUUCGGAUCGUAAAACUCUGUUAUUAGGGAAGAACAUAUGUGUAAGUAACUGUGCACAUCGUGACGGUACCUAAUCAGAAAGCCACGGCUAACUACGUG
rnacentral:rRNA from 1 species